rnacentral:tRNA from 1 species
GAUGGGGACAACAAUUAACUGCUAAUUAACACCAACCAGACCUAAUCUUCUGGCCCCACC